CGGAGGAAAAGAAACCAACUGGGAUUGCCUUAGUAACGGCGAGUGAAGCGGCAAUAGCUCAAAUUUGAAAGCUGGCCCCUUUGGGGUCCGCGUUGUAAUUUGUAGAGGAUGAUUCGGCGAGGGCUCCCGUCUAAGUCCCCUGGAACGGGGCGUCAUAGAGGGUGAGAAUCCCGUAUGUGAUGGGUUGCCUUAGCCAUGUGAAUCUCCUUCGACGAGUCGAGUUGUUUGGGAAUGCAGCUCUAAAUGGGAGGUAAAUUUCUUCUAAAGCUAAAUACCGGCCAGAGACCGAUAGCGCACAAGUAGAGUGAUCGAAAGAUGAAAAGCACUUUGGAAAGAGAGUUAAAAAGUACGUGAAAUUGUUGAAAGGGAAGCGCUUGCAGCCAGACUUGUCCGCAGUUGCUCAGCCGGUCUCCUGACCGGCGUACUCUUCUGCGGCCAGGCCAGCAUCAGUUCGGGCGGUCGGAUAAAGACCCCAGGAAUGUAGCUCCUCUCGGGGAGUGUUAUAGCCUGGGGUGGAAUGCGGCCAGCCUGGACUGAGGAUCUCGCUUCGGCUAGGAUGCUGGCGUAAUGGCUGUAAGCGGCCCGUCUUGAAACACGGACCAAGGAGUCUAACAUCUAUGCGAGUGUUUGGGUGUCAAACCCAUACGCGUAAUGAAAGUGAACGGAGGUGGGAACCCUCACGGGUGCACCAUCGACCGAUCCUGAUGUCUUCGGAUGGAUUUGAGUAAGAGCAUAGCUGUUGGGACCCGAAAGAUGGUGAACUAUGCCUGAAUAGGGUGAAGCCAGAGGAAACUCUGGUGGAGGCUCGCAGCGGUUCUGACGUGCAAAUCGAUCGUCAAAUUUGGGUAUAGGGGCGAAAGACUAAUCGAACCAUCUAGUAGCUGGUUCUG
rnacentral:rRNA from 1 species